UUUCGUAAUAUGUAUUGGUCCAUUCCUACUUACACUUACGGUUAGUGUUAAAUUUGCCCCAACUUAUUUACUUUUACAAUAUGAGAAGUAUUUCCCUACCGGUCAUUUCCAUUUUAAGAAUUAAAUAGUAUACUUUUAGCCCACUACAACAAUGUUGAACCAAAGUGAUAGAAUUGCUCAGUUCCUAUGCAAAUUUAUUAAAUGUCUUCCACCAGGUGUGAAUUUCCUGCACGAAACGAGGCCUAAAGCGAUUUGUCUUCAGAAAACCACAACCAACACGAUGUUAAGAUUAGUGACCUUGAUACUCCGACUGUCAAAAUGAUUUAAAACUCACAAUCCGGUAUCAUUGCUGGUGUUGGUUGCCGCAGUAAUGAAUCACCUGGAGAAACUCUGUGCUGCCCUCUAUGGAGCAAACACCAAACUAAUUGCUUCAAUGUCAUAUACGUAUUUCAGUCAUUUUCUAAAUAUUCACAUAUUCAUUUACUUUCUUACGCUCUAAGUUAACACUGUAAAUAUGUUAUGCACAGAUUAUUAUAUAUCUUAUGUAUUAACUAGCUACAUUAUACCCUAUAUGAGUUUUGUAUGCAUUGUUCCAAGUGAAAUACCUUCUGAUUUUUAUUAAAUCCACUCUGAAGUUUU